rnacentral:tmRNA from 1 species
GGGCUUUGCAGCGCCCUCGCCCGCCCCUAUAUGUGUGGUGUCGGUUUUACCGACUAUGGCGAUAAACGGACGUUGGAAUAAACCCAUCGGACCCGGGGGCAGUGCCCGGCGCCUCCACCACGAACCGCUUGUCCGGCGGCUGGUGAUGGGGGCGAAACAGGAUCGACGAGGGCGUAAAGAACGAACUUUCGCUCGGCAUGGUAGCCACCGUUAUCGGGCCAAACUUGUAGUUGCAAACGACAACUAUGCGGAAGCACGUCUCGCCGCGUAAGCAGCGCGACAGCUUCAAUUCAAGCCCUAGUGGUUCGCACUUCUAGGCGGGGUUCGGAGGUACCUGGCAACAGAAACCUCCACU